rnacentral:rRNA from 1 species
UUCCCUUCGGGGACAUUGGUGACAGGUGGUGCAUGGUUGUCGUCAGCUCGUGUCGUGAGAUGUUGGGUUAAGUCCCGCAACGAGCGCAACCCUUGUCUUUAGUUGCCAUCAUUAAGUUGGGCACUCUAGAGAGACUGCCAGGGAUAACCUGGAGGAAGGUGGGGAUGACGUCAAAUCAUCAUGCCCCUUAUGCUUAGGGCUACACACGUGCUACAAUGGGUAGUACAGAGGGUUGCCAAGCCGUAAGGUGGAGCUAAUCCCUUAAAGCUACUCUCAGUUCGGAUUGUAGGCUGAAACUCGCCUACAUGAAGCUGGAGUUACUAGUAAUCGCAGAUCAGAAUGCUGCGGUGAAUGCGUUCCCGGGUCUUGUACACACCGCCCGUCACACCACGGGAGUUGGAGACGCCCGAAGCCGACUAUCUAACCUUUUGGAAGAAGUCGUCGAAGGUGGAAUCAAUAACUGGGGUGAAGUCGUAACAAGGUAGCCGUAUCGGAAGGUGCGGCUGGAGCACCUCCUUUCUAAGGA